AUUGGCAAGGAUGACAUCCACUUGCCCUCUCUUAGACUAUAUAGUUCAUUGAUGAGAGCACAAAUUGUUCUGAGCCAAU
rnacentral:snoRNA from 10 species